rnacentral:rRNA from 1 species
AGUGGAUGGGGAGCAACCUAGUUGUGCGUGUGUAAAGGUAGUGCCAAGAAAAGCGGUGAUCAUGAUGAAAAUCAAUUCCCGGUACCCGAAACCGACACAGGUGGGCAAGUAGAGAAUACUAAGGGGCGCGAGGUAACUCUCUCCAAGGAACUCGGCAAAAUGACCCCGUAACUUAGGGAGAAGGGGUGCCACCGAGAGGUGGUCGCAGUGAAGAGGCCCAGGCGACUGUUUAGCAAAAACAUAGGUCUCUGCAAACUCGAAAGAGGAGGUAUAGGGGCUGACGCCUGCCCAGUGCCGGAAGGUUAAAGAAGUUGGUCAGUCUUAGGAUAAAGCUAGCGACUGAAGCCCCGGUGAACGGCGGCCGUAACUAUAACGGUCCUAAGGUAGCGAAAUUCCUUGUCGGGUAAGUUCCGACCCGCACGAAAGGCGUAAUGAUCUGGGCGCUGUCUCGGAGAGAGGCUCGGCGAAAUAGGAUUGUCUGUGAAGAUACGGACUACCUGCAUUUGGACAGAAAGACCCUAUGAAGCUUUACUAUAGCUUGGAAUUGUGUUCGGGCUUCCUGUGCGCAGGAUAGGUGGGAGGCGAAGAAGGUAUUCUUGUGGGGAUACUGGAGCCAACGGUGAGAUACCACUCUCAGGAGGCUAGAAUUCUAACUUAAUUAAGGACAGUUUCAGGUGGGUAGUUUGACUGGGGCGGUCGCCUCCAAAAAGGUAACGGAGGCGUACAAAGGUUCCCUCAGACUGGUUGGAAAUCAGUCGCAGAGUGCAAAGGCAGAAGGGAGCUUGACUGCGAGAAGUACAGUUCGAGCAGGGUGGAAACACGGUCUUAGUGAUCCGACGGUGCUGUGUGGAAGGGCCGUCGCUCAACGGAUAAAAGUUACUCUAGGAUAACAGGCUGAUCUCCCCCAAGAGUUCACAUCGACGGGGAGGUUUGGCACCUCGAUGUCGGCUCAUCGCAACCUGGGGCGGAAGUACGUCCCAAGGGUUGGGCUGUUCGCCCAUUAAAGCGGUACGUGAGCUGGGUUCAGAACGUCGUGAGACAGUUCGGUCCAUAUCCGAUGUAGGCGUGAGAAUAUUGAGAGGAGCCUUCCUUAGUACGAGAGGACCGGGAAGGACGCACCGCUGGUGUACUUGUUAUGAUGCCAAUUGUAAACGCAGGGUAGCCAAGUGCGGAGGGGAUAACCGCUGAAAGCAUCUAAGUGGGAAGCCCACCUCAAGAUGAGUAUUCUGGUGUAAGGUCACGGGAAGACGACCCGUAAAUAGGCACGAGGUGGAAGUGCAGAGAUGUAUGAAGCCGAAGUGUACUAAUAGACCGUCGGCUUGACCAC